GACGAACGCUGGCGGCGUGCUUAACACAUGCAAGUCGAACGGAAAGGCCCCUUCGGGGGUACUCGAGUGGCGAACGGGUGAGUAACACGGGAGUAACCUGCCCUUGACUUCGGGAUAACUUCAGGAAACUGGGGCUAAUACCGGAUAGGAAUCCUUGCUGCAUGGGGGGGGUUGGAAAGCUUCGGCGGUUUUGGAUGGACUCGCGGCUUAUCAGCUUGUUGGUGGGGUAGUGGCUUACCAAGGCUUUGACGGGUAGCCGGCCUGAGAGGGCGACCGGCCACAUUGGGACUGAGAUCCGGCCCAGACUCCUACGGGAGGCAGCAGUGGGGAAUAUUGCACAAUGGGCGGAAGCCUGAUGCAGCAACGCCGCGUGCGGGAUGACGGCCUUCGGGUUGUAAACCGCUUUCAGCAGGGGCGAAGCUUGUGGUGACGGUACCUGCAGAAGAAGCACCGGCUAACUACGUG
rnacentral:rRNA from 1 species